UACGUAGGGUGCAAGCGUUGUCCGGAAUUAUUGGGCGUAAAGAGCUCGUAGGCGGUUUGUUGCGUCGGCUGUGAAAUCCCGAGGCUCAACCUCGGGUCUGCAGUCGAUACGAGCAAACUAGAGUGUUGCAGGGGGAGACUGGAAUUCCUGGUGUAGCGGUGGAAUGCGCAGAUAUCAGGAAGAACACCCCGUGGCGAAGGCGGUUCUCUGGGACGGUACUGACGCUGGAGACGCGAAAGCGUGGGGAGCGAACAGG
rnacentral:rRNA from 1 species